GGGGGCAAGCGUUGUUCGGAAUUACUGGGCGUAAAGGGCUUGUAGGCGGCCAACUAAGUCACACGUGAAAUCCCCAGGCUUAACCUGGGAACUGCGUGUGAUACUGGAUGGCUUGAAUUCGGGAGAGGGAUGCAGAAUUCCAGGUGUAGCGGUGAAAUGCGUAGAUAUCUGGAGGAAUACCGGUGGCGAAGGCGGCAUCCUGGACCGACAUUGACGCUGAGGAGCGAAAGCUAGGGGAGCAAACGGG
rnacentral:rRNA from 1 species